rnacentral:rRNA from 1 species
AAACCUCACCUGGCCCGGACACGGAAAGGAUUGAUAGCUCUUUCUUGAUUCUGUGGGUGGUGAUGCAUGGCCGUUCUUAGUUGGUUGAGCGAUUUGUCUGGUUAAUUCCGAUAACGAACGAGACUCCUCCAUGCUAACUAGUUAAAGUGCAGGGCUUUAACGCUGAUGACAGACCGUAAUGUACUAAAAGUACCAGC